rnacentral:rRNA from 1 species
UCGAGAAUCUUCCGCAAUGGACGCAAGUCUGACGGAGCGACGCCGCGUGCGGGAUGAAGGCCUUCGGGUUGUAAACCGCUGUCAGUGGGGAGGAAAUGCACGGGGGUACUCCCCUGUGUUUGACCGAUCCGCAGAGGAAGCACAGGCUAAGUUCGUGCCAGCAGCCGCGGUAACACGAACUGUGCAAACGUUAUUCGGAAUUACUGGGCUUAAAGAGUUCGUAGGCGGCUUGUUAAGUCGGGUGUGAAAUCCCUCGUCUCAACCGAGGAAUUGCGCUCGAAACUGGCGAGCUUGAGUGAGAUAGAGGUGAGCGGAACUGAUGGUGGAGCGGUGAAAUGCGUUGAUAUCAUCAGGAACACCGGUUGCGAAGGCGGCUCACUGGGUCUUGACUGACGCUGAGGAACGAAAGCUAGGGGAGCGAACG